CCCCCUCCCCCCCCCAGCAGAGAGACCCCAGCAGCAGCAGCAGCUGAUGAUGAAGAGAGAGGCAGUGGCAGAGGGGGGGCACCUUUUAUUUCUAUUUUUAAAGGGACAGGACACUAAUUUUACCCCACUUCAACCUUGAAUUGAGGGGGGUGGGGGGAAGGCGGCUCAGUUCCUUCCCCCACCCUCCAGCCCUGAGACCUGAGAGGGGGAUUGAGCCUGAGAAAGAAGAAGGAGUUUCUUCUUCUUCGAAAACCCCCAUCCACGACUCCUACCCCCUCACCCCUCCACUAGCCUCCCUCCCGAGCCCCCUCCACCCUCCUCUUUGGCCGUGAGAGGAGGAGAGAAAGAGACCAAAAGCCUCUUAGCAACACAGACCCUUUGCUGCUGCUGCUGCUGCUGCUGCUGCUGCUGCUGCUACUGCUGCUGCUGCUUGGCCCUGGCUGGAGACAUCUCACUACACCCAGGAGCAGCCACUUCCCCAGCUCUCCUCCUCCUUCGCCUCCUCCUCCUCCACUCCCCCCCCUUUAUUACCCUUUGUGUCAUCCUCCACAGCUCCAGGGAAGGCACUCAAAAGUGGGGGGCAGGAAAGAUGCUUUUUGAGGAAAUCAGUUUCUGCAUGUGGAAAGUAGAUAUUGAAGGUUAUAUGGUUUACAGACAAGAUCUUUAAAAUAUAGAUACUCAAGCUGUGAUCUACUGUUGGAAGUGGCCAUUUAGCAGAUCUUAAUACCCUAGGCAUCAAGCCAGUUUAUGUGUUCGAGUGAGUAACGUCUUCAGUGCAAGAUGAACAUCAAGUUCAGGAACCCGAAUACAUGAACAUAGAUUUUGGUGGAUCUUGCUUUCUCUUUGCUUUCUUUCUCUUUUUUCUUCUAUAAUUCAUCUUUUAUAAGUUAAAACUUACGGUUGUUCAAAUGCAGACAGAUUCUAGUUUCUUCAUUCUUUCACUUUUCUGGUUAAAUAUUCAAUUUUUAAUUUUCUCCUGUUUCCAGAAGCCAUUAUUCACCAAUAUAAGUAGCUUUAUAUUGGUUUAUAUACAUUCUCUAACUAAAAUUGGAAUUAAAAGAAAUUGAACAUCAGAUUUAAGGAGAAAUUGCCAGAUUAACUUUCUGUAACUGUUUUCAGCAUUUGACAGAAAUUUUUAACUUUUGUUACAUCUUUAUGGUAAGGACAUACUAAAGUCUAGCCCAGCCUUAUUCUAUUAUUUGGUUC
rnacentral:lncRNA from 1 species